rnacentral:rRNA from 1 species
UACAGAGGUCUCAAGCGUUGUUCGGAUUCAUUGGGCGUAAAGGGUGCGUAGGCGGCGCGGUAAGUCGGGUGUGAAAUCUCGGAGCUUAACUCCGAAACUGCAUUCGAUACUGCCGUGCUUGAGGACUGGAGAGGAGACUGGAAUUUACGGUGUAAGCGGUGAAAUGCGUAGAUAUCGUAAGGAAGACCAGUGGCGAAGGCGGGUCUCUGGACAGUUCCUGACGCUGAUGCGCGAAGCGUAGGGAGCAAACGGGAUU